rnacentral:rRNA from 1 species
AGAGUUUGAUCCUGGCUCAGGAUGAACGCUGGCGGCGUGCCUAAUACAUGCAAGUCGAACGAAACUUCUUUAUCACCGAGUGCUUGCACUCACCGAUAAAGAGUUGAGUGGCGAACGGGUGAGUAACACGUGGGCAACCUGCCCAAAAGAGGGGGAUAACACUUGGAAACAGGUGCUAAUACCGCAUAACCAUAGUUACCGCAUGGUAACUAUGUAAAAGGUGGCUAUGCUACCGCUUUUGGAUGGGCCCGCGGCGCAUUAGCUAGUUGGUGAGGUAAAGGCUUACCAAGGCAAUGAUGCGUAGCCGAACUGAGAGGUUGAUCGGCCACAUUGGGACUGAGACACGGCCCAAACUCCUACGGGAGGCAGCAGUAGGGAAUCUUCCACAAUGGGCGAAAGCCUGAUGGAGCAACGCCGCGUGGGUGAAGAAGGUCUUCGGAUCGUAAAACCCUGUUGUUAGAGAAGAAAGUGCGUGAGAGUAACUGUUCACGUUUCGACGGUAUCUAACCAGAAAGCCACGGCUAACUACGUGCCAGCAGCCGCGGUAAUACGUAGGUGGCAAGCGUUAUCCGGAUUUAUUGGGCGUAAAGGGAACGCAGGCGGUCUUUUAAGUCUGAUGUGAAAGCCUUCGGCUUAACCGGAGUAGUGCAUUGGAAACUGGGAGACUUGAGUGCAGAAGAGGAGAGUGGAACUCCAUGUGUAGCGGUGAAAUGCGUAGAUAUAUGGAAGAACACCAGUGGCGAAAGCGGCUCUCUGGUCUGUAACUGACGCUGAGGUUCGAAAGCGUGGGUAGCAAACAGGAUUAGAUACCCUGGUAGUCCACGCCGUAAACGAUGAAUGCUAAGUGUUGGAGGGUUUCCGCCCUUCAGUGCUGCAGCUAACGCAAUAAGCAUUCCGCCUGGGGAGUACGACCGCAAGGUUGAAACUCAAAGGAAUUGACGGGGGCCCGCACAAGCGGUGGAGCAUGUGGUUUAAUUCGAAGCAACGCGAAGAACCUUACCAGGUCUUGACAUCUUCUGACAAUCCUAGAGAUAGGACUUUCCCUUCGGGGACAGAAUGACAGGUGGUGCAUGGUUGUCGUCAGCUCGUGUCGUGAGAUGUUGGGUUAAGUCCCGCAACGAGCGCAACCCUCGCCCCGUGUUGCCAGCGGAUUGUGCCGGGAACUCACGGGGGACCGCCGGGGUUAACUCGGAGGAAGGUGGGGAUGACGUCAAAUCAGCACGGCCCUUACGUCCGGGGCUACACACGUGUUACAAUGGGCGGUACAGAGGGCAGCUACCACGCGAGUGGACGCUAAUCCUCAAAGCCGUUCUCAGUUCGGACUGGAGUCUGCAACCCGACUCCACGAAGCUGGAUUCGCUAGUAAUCGCGCAUCAGCCAUGGCGCGGUGAAUACGUUCCCGGGCCUUGUACACACCGCCCGUCAAGCCAUGAAAGCCGGGAGCACCUGAAGACCGUGACCGCAAGGGUCGGCCUAGGGUGAUACUGGUGAUUGGGGCUAAGUCGUAACAAGGUAGCCGUACCGGAAGGUGCGGCUG